AAACUAAGCAACGUUAAAACAUGAUUGCAUUGAAGUAA
rnacentral:misc_RNA from 1 species